UUAAAAUGACAUUUAUUGUAUUUUUUUAUUUUAUAAAUUUCCCAUAUUUUAGUAUUUACACAUUUCUAGGUGAACAAUGGUUUGUAAACAAACUAAUUUGUUACUGCUCACAGCUGCAGGAUCAUCAAUCAUCCAUCACACAGACAUACGCAGCUUUUUUCACUGUGAUAUUAAAAAGUCAAACUGGACUCACCAGGUGUUUGAUCCCUUCAGCUUCCCGUACGUCUCCGCUGCAGGUGUACAGGUGAACAGGUGAAUGCUGCGACUCAGUCGCUCUGAUCCUGAAAAAACUCCACAGCUCGUAUAUUUUUUUCUAACACGAUGAAAACACUGAGCAAAGAAAAAAACCUCACAGCUUCACAUGUGUUUCAGUUGGUGAUUCUUCAUAUUAAAACUGUUUUUAUUAAUUUAUUCUCUAUUAAAAUAAAGUCAGAGGAGAAUCAGAACACAGCAGAAGAAGCGAAAAUAAACAAUAGAUUAUGGAAUGUACUUCAGUAAAGAAAAUAAAAGCUCCAGCUGGUCCAACAUGGGGGCUUUAUUUCAACCACAGUCAAAUAAAGCACCGCUCUUAUAUAUUCAUAUAUAUAUAAAGAUAUUUAUAUAUAUAUUUAUAUAGUUUUCAUAUACACCUUCAGGCAAUGACUAGAGAGGAUUCUUUACAGAAUCAAGUUUCUUGUGGUUCUCUUAAUUUACAGGUAAACUUAGUUUCUGGAUAAUUAAACCACAGAAAAGUCAAGGCAACUUUCUUUUGCCUCGUUCAUAAAGUACAAAACUGGCACAGAGGACGACCAUUUUCAUACACAGUAAAAAUGCAAUAAAAUUAAAUUACAUACAGAGGAGACAAAAGUUCUGUAAACCUUUCCCCGUUACAGCAAACCUCAAAUAAAAUCACUUUCCAAAACAAAUUCAAAUCAGUAUAAAACACACACACACACAUACACACGCACACAAAAAAAAAAACAA